AUACGUAGGGUGCGAGCGUUGUCCGGAAUUACUGGGCGUAAAGAGCUCGUAGGUGGUUUGUCGCGUCGUCUGUGAAAUUCCGGGGCUUAACUCCGGGCGUGCAGGCGAUACGGGCAUAACUUGAGUACUGUAGGGGAGACUGGAAUUCCUGGUGUAGCGGUGAAAUGCGCAGAUAUCAGGAGGAACACCGGUGGCGAAGGCGGGUCUCUGGGCAAUACAUGACGGUGAGGAGCGAAAGCAUGGGUAGAGAACAGGAUGAGAUACCCUGGUAGUCCAUGCCGUAAACGGUGGGCGCUAGGUGUAGGGGUCUUCCACGACUUCUGUGCCGUAGCUAACGCAUUAAGCGCCCCGCCUGGGGAGUACGGCCGCAAGGCUAAAACUCAAAGGAAUUGACGGGG
rnacentral:rRNA from 1 species